rnacentral:rRNA from 1 species
UACAGAGGGUGCGAGCGUUUGUCCGGAAUUACUGGGCGUAAAGAGCUCGUAGGUGGUUUGUCGCGUUGUUCGUGAAAACUCACAGCUCAACUGUGGGCGUGCGGGCGAUACGGGCAGACUAGAGUACUGCAGGGGAGACUGGAAUUCCUGGUGUAGCGGUGGAAUGCGCAGAUAUCAGGAGGAACACCGGUGGCGGAAGGCGG